rnacentral:lncRNA from 1 species
AUUUUUUUUUCUUUUUUUUUAUAUUUUUUAAAUACAAAAUACAUAUAUAUAUAUAUAUAUAGGUUUUAAAAUAUAGCAUAAUUUAUUAUUUAAAAUAUCAUAACAUACAAUAAAAAUAUUUAAAGUCUUAGAGCUUAAAAAUUUUGUAAUAUAAAAGACGUGAUAAAAAAUUAAAGUUAGAAUUUGUAGGAUGAAUAAAUAAAAAAAUAUAUAUUUUAAUUAAGAAAAUAUAUUUUGUAAUUAAAAAAUAUAUGUGCGGGUAUCUGUGGGUACCCGCGGGUUAUUCAAAAUGCUCACAGCUUAAUGGGUACGCACCCGUUUUACCCGUAAUUUUUUAGGUUGAAAAAGUUGGUACCGAUAUUCGCAAAUUUGUGAGUAACCCGCGGGCACCCGCGGGUAUGGGUUGAGAUUGCCAGUUCUAUUUACCAUGUCCAAAGUGUAACC